rnacentral:rRNA from 1 species
UACGUAGGGGGCUAGCGUUGUCCGGAUUUAUUGGGCGUAAAGAGCGUGUAGGCGGCCAGAUAGGUCUGCUGUGAAAACUCGAGGCUCAACCUCGAGAUGUCGGCGGAAACCAUUUGGCUAGAGUCCGGAAGAGGAAAGUGGAAUUCCUGGUGUAGCGGUGAAAUGCGCAGAUAUCAGGAAGAACACCCGUGGCGAAGGCGGCUUUCUGGGACGGUACUGACGCUGAGGCGCGAAAGCUAGGGGAGCAAACAGG